UACGUAGGGGGCAAGCGUUAUCCGGAUUCACUGGGUGUAAAGGGAGCGUAGACGGUAAUGUAAGUCUGGAGUGAAAGGCGGGGGCCCAACCCCCGGACUGCUCUGGAAACUAUGUUACUAGAGUGCAGGAGAGGUAAGCGGAAUUCCUAGUGUAGCGGUGAAAUGCGUAGAUAUUAGGAGGAACACCAGUGGCGAAGGCGGCUUACUGGACUGUAACUGACGUUGAGGCUCGAAAGCGUGGGGAGCAAACAGG
rnacentral:rRNA from 1 species